rnacentral:rRNA from 1 species
GUGGGGAAUAUUGGACAAUGGGCGAAAGCCUGAUCCAGCCAUGCCGCGUGUGUGAAGAAGGUCUUCGGAUUGUAAAGCACUUUAAGUUGGGAGGAAGGGCAGUAAGUUAAUACCUUGCUGUUUUGACGUUACCGACAGAAUAAGCACCGGCUAACUUCGUGCCAGCAGCCGCGGUAAUACGAAGGGUGCAAGCGUUAAUCGGAAUUACUGGGCGUAAAGCGCGCGUAGGUGGUUUUGUAAGUUGGAGGUGAAAUCCCCGGGCUCAACCUGGGAACUGCCUCAAAAACUGCAUGACUAGAGUACGGUAGAGGGUAGUGGAAUUUCCUGUGUAGCGGUGAAAUGCGUAGAUAUAGGAAGGAAAACCAGUGGCGAAGGCGACUACCUGGACUGAUACUGACACUGAGGUGCGAAAGCGUGGGGAGCAAACAGGAUUAGAAACCCCAGUAGUCC